rnacentral:rRNA from 1 species
AAGGCUUGACAUGCAGGGAAAUCCUCCAGAGAUGGGGGGUCCGCAAGGGUCCUGCACAGGUGGUGCAUGGUUGUCGUCAGCUCGUGUCGUGAGAUGUUGGGUUAAGUCCCGCAACGAGCGCAACCCUCGUUCUAUGUUGCCAGCGCGUGAUGGCGGGGACUCAUAGGAGACUGCCGGGGUCAACUCGGAGGAAGGUGGGGACGACGUCAAAUCAUCAUGCCCCUUAUGUCUUGGG